rnacentral:rRNA from 1 species
UAAGUUCCCUUUGGAACAGGACGUCAUAGAGGNUGAGAAUCCCGUAUGUGACUGGAAAUGUUAACCUAUGUAAAGCUCCUUCGACGAGUCGAGUUGUUUGGGAAUCCAGCUCUUAAAUGGGAGGUAAAUUUCUUUNUAAAGCUAAAUAUUGGCGAGGAGACCGAUAGCGCACAAGUAGAGUGAUCGAAAGAUGAAAAGCACUUUGGAAAGAGAGUUAAAAAGCACGUGAAAUUGUUGAAAGGGAAGCGCUUGCAAUCAGACUUGUUUAAACUGUUCGGCCGGUCUUCUGACCGGUUUACUCAGUUUGGACAGGCCAGCAUCAGUUUCGGCGGCCGGAUAAAGGCUCUGGGAAUGUGGCCUUCACUUCGGUGAAGGUGUUAUAGCCCAUACGUGUCAUAGGGCCAGCCGGGACUGAGUUUAAGCU